UGGGAAAUAUCCCGGACACACGCAGGCAAUAGGCCGUUCAUGGAUUAGGGCAACAGCCACGAAGGGCACGCCGCAUGCGCACGGCAACUGUGGCACGGAGACCGGAUUCCUCACGCCUGCUGGCGUCGAUCUCCUCCGGAGGCUGCUUCUCACCGGUAUUCUUCUUGCUCCCUGUCUCAACUAGGGCGUUUAGGGUUCUUGCGUCUCUUCUUAGAUCCAACUGCUCAGGCGGCGAUGAGUUCUUAGAUCCAAUCCCAGCGAGAUUCGGUGCCAGCUUCCGAAUCCAUCGGUCCAUCCCAGCGAGAUUUGUUGCCAGCUCCCGAAUCCAUCGGUCCUAGCUGUCUGAGUUGAUCGGCACCGUGCGAGCCGGCGGAAACAGAAGCUGUCGCCGCCUUCUUGACAGAACGCGCGUGCCUGCGGACAAUGGCAUGGAGACAGUGCGCAGAGCAGUGACCUGUUGUGCUGCCUGCCUGCCGCGGCGUGCGACUUCUCCUUCCUGCGCUGCGCCCAACUGCUUAUUUCCUUGCGCUGUCGACUCAUCUAAACACCAGUCGCGAUCGCGUGCAGCGAGGCGGCAGCAAGCAGAUCGGGCGGGCCGUGCAGGGCAGGGCAGGGAACACGGCACGUAUGGCUAACAAACCAAAUCAGUUGUCCCUUGCAAACAAACCAAAUCUUGCACGAUGGAUCAGCUCUCUGCUUGAUUUUUGUUGUUGUCCGACACUUGGGUCUAUCCAUCUUUUUGCUUGAUUUCUGUUCCUGGUGCAGAAAAUAAAUUUAAUUAUGUCAGAUUCACCUUGAAUAUUGCCUAUCUGCAGCAGCUGAAAUUACUAGCCUAGUGAUUUUAUGCAAGACGAUGAGUUCAACCAGACCGGCCACAACUUCUUCCUUCUCAAAAACUAGUUUCUCACAUUUGACCUGAAUUCACAGAACAUGGGGACCUAUCAGCCAUCCUGUUCGGUUUUGGAACUCGAUGCUAACUGUUAACUAACGCAUGAGAAUACCUUAAUAACCCCGCAAUAUUUCAUUUUAGAGUACAUAUAUUUACUUAUACUUGUCUAUAUGUAUUUCUAACAAAAACCUAUUAUAUUUCUAGCUUAUCCCUGCACCAGUUUGAGUUGGAGAAGACGAACUUCCACCGUCUUGGGACCCUAUAUCCUCUCCUUUAGGUACUUGUUAUAUUCUAAAUGUUCUUUAUUACACCAUGUUCUAUUUUUGUUGGUGUUUAUUUUCUGUCAUGAAUUUUGUUUUAGUUAGCAAUGGAUGUGGCACUAAGAGAUCACCUUAGACAGAGGAGAGAUGAUGAUGAUGAUGACAUGAUGUUGUUUUUUCUCCCUAUGCUACAUAUAUUGGGUUCUAGUUCAAACAUAGUAAGGGAAAAGAAGCGAAGACAUACAUCAAAGUUAAGUGGCGAAGAACAUGUUCAGGAGUUGCUUCAAGGUCAUUUGAAGAACUGCCGAGUAGCGUUCAGGAUGGAGCCUGAAAUUUUCAAAUCCUUGGCAAGUUAUCUUAGAAGGGAGGGGUUGGUCCGUGAUACAAGGAUUAAGGUCGAGGAAAAGUUAGCAUUCUUCUUAUACAUGCUCAGCCAUAAUGCCUCAUUUGAAGACCUAAUAGGAGAAUUUGGGCAUAGUGGUGAUACAUAUCAUCGUCACAUCAAGCAUUUCUUUGACCUAGUUGUUCCUACACUCUCCAAGCAAUUCCUGAAGCCACCAAAUCCUAAUCAUGUCCAUCAAAAAAUCGAAAGGAAUCCUAGGUUUUAUCCCUACUUCAAGGUGAUCACAUGAAUUAUCCUAUCAUAUGUCAAUCAUUUCUUUGACCUAGUUUUUUUUCUUUGACCUAGUUUUUUCUAUGCAGAAUUGCAUUGGUGCAAUCGAUGGCACUCAUGUGCCUAUAUCGAUAUCACCUGACAAAGCCGCUCCAUUUAGGAAUAGGAAGGGCACUCUUACUCAAAAUGUAAUGGUAGCGUGUGAUUUUGAUCUCAAUGUAACUUUCAUAUCCACUGGGUGGGAGGGGUCCGCGACGGAUGCUAGAGUUCUUAGGGCUGCAAUGAACAAUGGCUUUCAAGUACCUCUGGGGAAAUUUUAUUUAGUAGAUGGCGGUUAUGCCAACACACCAUCUUUCCUUGCCCCAUAUCGCGGAGUUAGGUAUCAUUUGAAGGAAUAUGGGGCAGGUCGCCGAAGACCACAAAACUACAAGGAGAUCUUUAAUCAUCGCCAUGCAGUGUUGAGGAAUCAUAUUGAAAGGGCCUUGGGAGUUAUAAAGAAACGCUUCCCCAUCCUUAAGGUUGCCACGUUUCACAAAAUAGAAAACCAAGUGAAGAUACCGGUAGCAGUUGCCGUGUUGCACAACAUUAUUCGGUCUCUCAAAGGAGAUGAACAAUGGUUAGAAGAUCAGGCAGAAAAUGUUCAAGGCAAUGUUGUUGAUAUUCCAGAUGGGGAUCAAAGCAAUGAUCAAGGCAGUGAACAAGGCAACAAUCUCAGAGACACAAUUGCACAACAAAUGUGGAUUGAUUAUCAACAACAUAGAAGCAAUUAGUGAUGCAUUAGAAUAUGUUUUAUUGUUAUUGGGAUUGCAAUAAGUUCUUAGGAAAUGUAGUUUGUACUAGUUAUGAUGCUUUAAUGUUAUUCGAAUAUGCUUUCAGUUAUGCUUUAAAAAUUAUUGUUGUUCACAAUUAUGCUUUCAUGUUCUAAUUAUGCUCAUGUUAUAAGUUACCAUGCUUGGAAGGGGGUCUCCAAGAUUAAACAUGCUUGCAAGGGGGUCUCCUAGAUUUAACAUGCUCUUAUCUAAAGGUGCACAAAAGAAAAAAUCUCCUAUAGCUACUGCUUCAAAGACACAUGGAGGCUCUCCAAAAGGUAUACAUGUUGGUUCUUUCUGAUUAGUUUUGGUUUUUUCUUAUGUUGCUUAUGUGCUGAUUUGCAGGGAAAACAAGAGCAAAUUGGAAUUCUAUGUUAGAGAAGACCCUUGUUGACUUGUUACAUGAACACAAUACACCUGAAUAUAAGGGUAACAAUGGUUGGACACCUGAUGCAUGGAACAAGAUUGCCAAGGAAUUUCAAGAGAGGGAAAGAUAUGCAGGUUUCUCAAAAGUUCAAAUCCAAGAAAAGGAAAAGGAGUUAAAGAGAGAUUACAGGAUGUUGAAAGAUGCGAGGAAACAAAGCGGAGUUUCUUGGGAUGAGAAAAGGUGUAUGAUUCAAGUUGAUCCACCGAUAUGGGACAACAUAAUCAAAGUAAGUUUAUUAACAUGUUUAUGUAAACUUGAGAUCUUUUUGUGUGUUGUCAGUUCUUAGCUUGGCAUUUACAUGAAUAUUUAAGUGUUAUUUGUUUUAUUCAUCUCACAUUUAGUUUUUUACUUUAUUGUGCAGUCAUUUCCAAGGGCUAAAAAAUUCCGCAACAAAUCUUUUCCUUUGUUUGAAGCUUUGGGAGAGCUACAUGAUGGUUAGUUUUCCUUUUACCAGUAACUAAGUUUAUUCACUAUGUUGUACUAUUUCUUGCACUAAAACUUCAUUGUAUAGGUAAUACUGCUGAAGGGACCUACAACUUCACUUCUACUCAACCAAAUGGUCCAGAUCUCACACAAAUUGGGUCUGGAGAUGUUCCUAUCAAUAUAGAAGACCGUGAAGAUGUGGGAGACCCUUUGGCAGAUCACAGACAAAAUGAAGUAGAAGACAAAGUGUAUGAAGUUGAAGGGGUUGAUGUAAAUGCUGAUAGGCAGGAUGAAAGGUCAAAAAGGACUUUUGUUGUUUCAAGGAAUGAAGAAGAAAAAGGACUAAAGAGGCCAAAGAAGAGUUCCAACAUAGAGGUAUUGAUGGAGAGGUACCUAAACAUUAGAAGCAAACAAGCUGAAGAUGAAACGACCCAAUUGGCAAGAGAAAGGGAGGCAAGAGGAGGUGAUGAUUUCUCAAUUAAGAAUUGCAUAGCAGUUCUAAACACAUUGGAAGUCACAAAAGAGGAGAAGGUCAAAGCAUAUAAGGUGUUCAAGGACCCUGACAAUCGACAGAUAUUCUUGAGUGCAUGCAAUGAUGAUAGAGAGGCUGCAUUGAUGUGGUUGAGGGAUGAGAUGGCUUAGCAGGUAUACCUAAUGUUUACUACGUACUUGAUUUUACAUACCUUGCAUUAUUUCAUAUUUUAGAUCAGCAAACAGUAUGUUGCUAGUUUUUAGUUUAUCUAAUUUGCUUGUGGACUUUAUAAUGAUUUUACAUACCUUGCAUUAUUUCAUAGCAUCUCAUUUUGUUUAAGAACAUUUCGAUUUUGUUUCCUUUUUUUAGUUCCUGGUAUUCACACGACAAGCUGAAUAAUAGUUUUGGAUUUUGGAGUAUAUUCCAAAAUGGAUUUAUAGAAAGAUUAUGAAUUAAGUACAAAGUUUAGAAAUUAUAGGGUUUUGAAUUAGGAGUGCCAGAUCUAUAAUGUGAUUAUAGAAAGUUCAUAAGUUCAUAAUGUGAUUGUAAAAUUGUUUUGGAUCUGUUCACAAGAUCUUAUCUUUAUGUGUAAUUACUUCAUGUAUAUUGUUACCGUGUGGCAAAGUAUUUUGAUAAUGGAGCUGUGUUGGUUAUCUAUUUCAUCAAUUUAACUACCUGGUAACUAUUUUGAUAGAUAACAGAGUUGUGUUGGAAGGAGGGUUCAUCGGAGAGUGGCCACUAACAUAUUCUGCAAGUUACAUUCUACCUUUUGCCACUCACUACUGCUACAGCAAAUGAGCAAUCUUAUUAGGAUAUAGAGGAUUUGAUAUACUAAAUUUACUUCUUGUUGUGCAGACUGUUGAUCCAUAUAUUUCAGAUGAGAGAGUGGGAUUAGCUGAGCCUGCAGAAGGAAUACAGACUGUGCCCUCAUGGGAAAAAACUAGACAAUUUGAACUUGUUGCUUUGAGUUGCUUGUACUGACUUGCCUGUGAAAAAACUUUGCUUUGGUCCGAAGAACACUGAAAAAACUAUGCUUUGGUCUGCUCUGAAUCUAGAUUUAAAUUUCUUUGAUUCUGAUUCUGAAAUGAUGGUUGAGUCUGCUUGAAUAAAUUCUUUGGAUGUAUUGGCC
rnacentral:lncRNA from 1 species